GGGGCAUGCGCCAGGCCGCCAAGGGUGCCAGUCACAGAUCGUGUCUGGAGAAUAAAGGAACAGCCAGAUCGCUUUCGGGAGGCAUCUUCUUCCUUUCACAUCUCUGAGAGCGUCUGUUUUGUGGGCAACGGAAAGUCAAGCCGCAGCGGAGAGGACCUUCUGUGUGGCGCGCCGAUUUCUUUGCUAAGUAGUCUGAUUCCCCCCGCCCCCAGUAAUUUCUAUUUUUAUGCACAGUGACUCUCAAUUGGUGAGAAAAUGAUGAUCACAUAAUCUCUCUUCCUCGAAGCUGCCAAAUGAUUAGCCUCAUUUGCUGCGAGUUCCACUCCACGGCCCGGAAAUGACGCCCCUCUCCAACUCCGGCUAAGCAUGUCAGCUAGAUGGGUUUGACCUUUUCCUGGAAAACAAGGGAGAUGAGAGCACGUGACGUGUUUGCAAACUGAUGCUCAAAUGGGCUAUUUUGAACAACACUUCAAAAUAUGUGCUUCGCUAAACUGGUUGAGGACACACUGGAGCGUUUCCUGUGAGGGCUUUUUAAGGCAUGUAAGAGUCUUGCUCUCUUCAAAAAUAAAGGGAUGACAGAGGACAACCUGCAGGAGCCCGUUUUCUCCAUCCACCAUGUGGUUACUGGGGGAUCAAAUUCAGAUCGGUGGGCUUGGUGGUGCACUCAGCUUGUUUACACCCUGGGUGAUAAGAAUAAGAAGCUCCGGAUGUGGUGUCAAGAAGUUCAGUGUUGCCUCUGUCAUCUGGAUCCUGGGUGACUGAGAGACUGAAGGGAUUUUUAGAGAGAUUGACCUUAUGAUCCCUUGAGCUACUUUACAAUCUAGUUUAUAACCUUCUUGAGUUCCUGUCCUGACUUCCUUCAAUGAUGAGUAAUGCCGUGAAAGUGUAAAGUAAACAAAUCCCCUCUCUCUUCUGCAAGUGGCUUUUGGUCAUGGUGUCUCAUGUCCGCCACAGUAACCCUAACUAAGACAUGUAUCAUUCGAGAAAAUGAGUAUUUCCAAAGGGACUCUGAGGAAUGUUCCCAUGAAUCCUGUCUACCCAGGCUGCAACUUGAAUGCCAGAACACAUUGUUUGAAUGCAUAAUUCAAGGUCAAUGAGAAGGUGUUCCAUUGUAUGAUUUAGUCAUGAGCCGCUGCUUGGAGCAUCAUCUUUCUGCCAUUAAUGAGUCGCCUUCUACAGCAGCAGGAUUUGGAAACCUUUGAACUGUUUAGAGGAGAGCCUUUGGACUGUAUCCGCCAAGCAAGUAACAAACUCCUGCAUCAUAGCUGAAGCUGAUGCAGUUUUCCUGAACUUCUUUUUCCUGCCUUUAGGAGCAAUUAGCAGUGGGUUACGGAGGGGCCAAAGGGUCUCUCACUGGAUCUGGGGCUAGGUUGGCCGCCAGAAAACCCCGUGAAUCCUCCAGCGUCCACCUGCUCGUGGCACUGGGGUUAUAGUCACACAUGACCACACGGAGCUUUUUCUCUCAAAGAUCAGCGAGAUACUUUGCAAGCAAAAUCUCAGCCCUGAGACAGGUUAGAGAAGGAUGUAGAAACCCCUCAGGCUGGGCACUGAGUUGGUGAUCGAAUGGAAAAGGUAUAAACUAUCAGGGGGCUUAGACCCUGGCCCAGAUGUUACAGGGUAAAGCUAAGCAAAAGCAAUCAGUCUGUGUGGUCAAUGCUAAAAGUGAAACACUGGAUUAAAGAAUGAAUCUGCCCUUUAUCAAACGCUUGUGCAGUCUUUAAAGGAGAGGAGACGUCAUAGAGGGGAGGAUCUGAGAAGGAGGAUCUCUGGGAGGAUCCAGUCUAGACCACAAGGGAACAUACAGGCAGAAGAAGCCAGGGAGCUUUGAAUCUUGGAAGGACGAGGCCCUGUUGCUGUUGGAAGGUGGAGAAGGCGAAGAGAAGCAGCACAGGCAGCCAGAAUAUGUCAUUGCUUUUAAAAAUAUUUAUUUAUAGGAAAACUAUAAACCCAGGUUUAAAUAAACUCUGUUCUUGGUCAGCUUUUC
rnacentral:lncRNA from 1 species